UAUGGCCACAUCACGUUGAAACACCAGUUCCCGUACGAUCACCGAGGUUAAGGAAGGUCGAGCGUGGUCAAUAACUAGAUGGGUGACCGCUUGGGAAUACCAGAUGCUGUAA